GAUGAACGCUGGCGGCGUGCCUAAUACAUGCAAGUCGAGCGGACAGACGAGGAGCUUGCUCCUCUGACGGUAGCGGCGGGCGAGUGAGUAACACGUGGAUAACCUCCCUAUAAUACUGGGAUGACUUCGGGAAACCUGAGCUAAUACCGGCUAAUAUAUUGAACCGCAUGGUUCAAUAGUUAAAGACCGUUUUACGGUCACUUAUAGAUUGAGCCGCGCCGCGGUAGCUAGUUGGUAAGGUAACGGCUUUCUAAGGCAACGAUGGGUAGCCGACGUGAAAGGGUGGUCGGCCACCCUGGAGGUGGGACACGGUCCAGACGACUGCGGGAGGCAGCAGACGGGAACCUUACGCAAUGGGCGAAAGCAUGACGGAGCAGCGGCGAGUGAGUGACGAAGGUCUCCGGAUCGUAAUACUCUGUUAUUAGGGAAAAACAAAUGUCUACGUAAAUAUGCCCGAAUUGACGGUACCUACUCAGAAAGCAACGGCUAACUACGUG
rnacentral:rRNA from 1 species